rnacentral:rRNA from 1 species
ACGGGAGGCAGCAGUGGGGAAUUUUGGACAAUGGGCGCAAGCCUGAUCCAGCAAUGCCGCGUGUGUGAAGAAGGCCUUCGGGUUGUAAAGCACUUUUGUCCGGAAAGAAAACCUCGUGGUUAAUACCCGUGGGGGAUGACGGUACCGGAAGAAUAAGCACCGGCUAACUACGUGCCAGCAGCCGCGGUAAUACGUAGGGUGCAAGCGUUAAUCGGAAUUACUGGGCGUAAAGCGUGCGCAGGCGGUUCGCUAAGACAGAUGUGAAAUCCCCGGGCUUAACCUGGGAACUGCAUUUGUGACUGGCGGGCUAGAGUAUGGCAGAGGGGGGUAGAAUUCCACGUGUAGCAGUGAAAUGCGUAGAGAUGUGGAGGAAUACCGAUGGCGAAGGCAGCCCCCUGGGCCAAUACUGACGCUCAUGCACGAAAGCGUGGGGAGCAAACAGGAUUAGAUACCCUGGUAGUCCACGCCCUAAACGAUGUCAACUAGUUGUCGGGUCUUCAUUGACUUGGUAACGUAGCUAACGCGUGAAGUUGACCGCCUGGGGAGUACGGUCGCAAGAUUAAAACUCAAAGGAAUUGACGGGGACCCGCACAAGCGGUGGAUGAUGUGGAUUAAUUCGAUGCAACGCGAAAAACCUUACCUACCCUUGACAUGUAUGGAACCCUGCUGAGAGGUGGGGGUGCCCGAAAGGGAGCCAUAACACAGGUGCU